AAUUUUCCAAUAAGACAGUAAGAGCUGCUAAAAAACAGGCCGAUGUCACCCUGCAGGCCUCCGGUCAUCUUUCUGUCAGCCCCUCUGUAAACAUGAAUUCUCAGAGUUACCCUCCCAGCAUGGCAACAGCUGCUUAGCUUCUCCUUCUCCUGGGUCUUUCCUCGGAGAUAAUCCUUUGCUGUUGAGAUUGGGAAAAUGAUGAUGAGCCAGCUGUCACUUGUACCCAGCCAGGCCAGACGGUCCAGGUCAGCUUGGCUUGAACUCCCCCAGUGCACGCGGAGCAUGACAGCCCAAAGCCCCCUUCUGAGAUUCCUGAGAAUUUCCAGGUGGGGCCUGGCUUUCCCCUGGUCAUAUUGGUUCAGAGGAAGAUUUAUGGGAAGAUAAUGAGGCUGUCACUCCAGGGCCACUCACGGAUGGGAGGCCUUGGCAAAGCGCUCCUGUGGGUCAUAUUGUUUUUGUAAGCUGUGCCCAAGUUUGACAUCUUUAUAUUCUUUUUCUUUGAUGGAGAUCUCACCAAUGCAUGAGCUUUAGGUUCCGUGAAAUCUUGAUCUGCCUCUGCAUCUCACCCCAGGUCUUCCCUCUGCCUUGGCCUCCUUUCUCCUCUCCUUCCUUCAACCAUCCAUCCCCUUUGGUUCUUCUCCUGGAGCCUCUCCCCUCUGCCCUCUCGAAGUUCAUCUGGGUAUUUUUUAGAGGCUGGCUUCCCUAGGAAGAUUUCAGACAUUUGCUAUUAGGAAAGUCGAGGCUUCCCCGUUUGUUCCGAGAUCAGCAGGACUUCCAUGGACAACUGUGCUGCUGGGCCACCAUGGAGAAGCUUCUGGAAUGGAAGUCAGGAGUGAUCACAGAUUCUGUCUCCCGAGGAUAAUGCCAGCAGUCAAGUGGAUUGUGCACGAAGCAAGCCCAAGCCUUCCUGGAGCUGGGAGAGACGUGGUUCUUCCCUGUGUCAUGGACACCAAGGGUGAGAAGGGAUGGUGGAGACAGACUGCAGGUGGAGACAGAUGUGUGGCCAUCGCUAUUGCGAGUAUCUUCCAAGGAUUCCCAAACAGGGGUUUGGGGACAAUGCCAUGA
rnacentral:lncRNA from 1 species